rnacentral:rRNA from 1 species
UACAUGAGCAACCUGGCCCUGGAGUGGGGGACGAACAGUUGGAAACGACUGCUAAUACCGCAUAAUGUAUCCGUAAGGCAUCUUGUGGAUACCAAAGAUUUAUUGCUCUGGGGAUGGGCUCAUGUCUGAUUAGCUAGUUGGUGAGGUAACGGCUCACCAAGGCUGCGAUCAGUAGCCGGACUGAGAGGUUGAACGGCCACAUUGGGACUGAGAUACGGCCCAGACUCCUACGGGAGGCAGCAGUGGGGAAUAUUGGGCAAUGGGCGAAAGCCCUGACCCAGCAACGCCGCGUGAAGGAAGAAGGCCUUCGGGUUGUAAACUUCUUUUAUGAGGGACGAACAAAUGACGGUACCUCAUGAAUAAGCCACGGCUAACUACGUGCCAGCAGCUGC